AAUAGCACUAAUGUUCAGGUCAAAGUGAAUCCUUUUAAGCACACAUGUCAGGAAUCAACCCUUAGGAAGGAUACAAUCAGUAGAGCCAAGUCAAGAUGGGUGGCAGAAGAAGUAAAAAAGUGGGUGAAAGAAAACCAACAAGUGGGUCCAAAGGAAUUGCAGAAGAACAUCAAAGAUAAGUUCAAGAUAGAUUUACCAUACAUGAGGUUGUUCAAUGGUAAACAACAUGCUAUGGAUUCUAUUUAUGGUAACUGGCAGGAAAGUUUUCAAUUGUUGUAUUCAUUCAAAGGUGAAGUGGAGAGGACAAGCCCAGGUAGUAUUGUAGAUAUUGAUCACCACACCGUGGAGUACACAUUCAGGGGAGUGACAAAGACCAAGGAAUGUUUUAGAAGGGUUUUUGUCUGCUUUGAGGCUUGUCGCCGGGGUUUUUUGGCAGGCUGCAGGCCUUAUUUGGCUAUUGAUGCCACUUUUCUCACAGGAAGGUUUAAAGGACAGUUAGUAGCAGCUUGUGCAGUUGAUGCACAUAGUUUUGUAUUUCCAGUUGCCUAUGGUGUGCUAGAGACAGAGUCUGAGGAGAGCUGGACUUGGUUUUUGCAUAAUCUCCGCCGGGCUAUUGCACAUCCCAAUGGGUUGGUCAUUCAUACAGAUGCCUGCAAAGGUUUAGAAGUGGCCGUGGACAAUGUGUUCCCUGGAGUAGAGCAUAGGGAAUGCAUGCGUCACCUUGCUGCAAAUUUCAUGAAGAAAUUCAAAGGAAAGGUGUAUACCGACAAUUUAUGGCCAGCAUCUUUGACAUGCAGUGUGAAGAAGCACAACUACCACUUGAGGCAGUUAUACAUGAAUCCCAAAGUGAAAGAAUACUUGGAAACACACCACUCCAAGUUAUGGGCUAGAAGCCAAUUCAGUAAAGUGAGCAAAGUUGACUAUGUGCACAAUAAUCUAGCAGAGUCUUUCAACUCAACGAUCCGGAAA
rnacentral:rRNA from 1 species